AUCACCUUUAAUAAGAUUGGAGCUACCCAAAAGCUAAGGUGUGGGCAGGAGCUGGGAACCCAGAAGGAGAAGUACGGGCCAAACCCUCACCCCCUGGACACCAUCCACUUCCUGGGGAGAUUCCUUCAGGGCUUUGAGGUCCUGGAGCAGAGACCUCUGUCCACGGAGCAGGGCGCUGACCUUGGCAGAAUCCUGCAGCAGGGCCAGCCUGUUCUCCAGGGCCCAGGCCACAGCCCUUCUCUUCUCAGAGUCUACCUUCCCGGGGACACUGUAGCCUCUUCCUUCUGGAACGCCUUACCACCUCACCUGGCCCUUCCUCAGUUUGGAUAUUAUCUGACACGUUGAGUUUAUCCCCUGUGCAUCUGGGCUUCUGGAUUCCCCCUCUUCUCAAAUCCCUCCCCCUGAGGGUCAUGGGCUUCCUCCCCCUUUCAGAAGUGGUUCUGCCCUUAAAGGAGGCAGAGGCCCAGUCCAGUCUUCUACCUACCGCCCCCCUCUCCCCGACCCCAACCGCAGGGCACAGUCCAGGAUGGGGCCAGUGCCGAGCAACUCUCAAUGCUUAGGCCUCUGUCUCGGUGAGUGGCCUGGAGAAGUGGCUGCCCCUCUCUGGGGUGGAGAGAAUCUGGCAGCAAGAGUUCUGGGCCUGGAAGUAGGAUCAUAGAGGCCUAGCCUUGGAGUGUGGCCCCGUCCCCACUCCCCCACUCCAGCAGCCCAGCCUCAGCUGCUCUGGCCUGAGGACACAAGAUGCCAGAGCUCAGCAAAGCCCACAGGAGCCGCCGGCUUCUUCUGCCUGGCAUCUAACAGCUUGACUGAGUUCAGCUCUCGGGCCCCAGGCUGGGCGUGCCACGGGGCAUGACUGUUUGGAAGAGAAGCCAGGAUGGCAGUGGAGAUAAAAACGAGGAUUCUGGUGCGUCUGAGCAUUAAGCAAGCCGUAUGGGAACCAAAUCACAUGUGGAGCUACAUGCAAAUUAGCACCCAGUCUAUUUCUGGCGCUUGUCUACAGACCCGUGUCCAAAUACCUGGCAUCUCCUCUCCCCAGCCCCGGCCGCGUGGAUCCGUGGGCAUUUGCUCGUGCAGGGCUACCCUCCUGUAUGCUCCCCCGCCUGGCAGGUCUACCCCCUCCUGCAACCUGCAGCACUGCACCCCUGCCCUCCUUUCCCUCCAGACCUUGGGGGAGACUAGAUCCUAAGUAUAGUGCUUGCUCCUCUUUCUGGACAAAGGGAGCUCACCGGUGCCAGGAACCCAGUGGCUAGGGAGCUUGCUUUUCCAGGCCUGCAGGCAGAGCCUUGGGUGCCCAAGGGGCCACUCACCCAGGCUCCCUCAGGCCUGGCAUGGCCUGGGGUCCCCAGGUGCUUCUUCCACUGCCUCUCGGCCUGGGCCAACUGUCUGGAGAGACCCUGGAGAGCCUGCAGGAUCUGGCGGUGUCUGCCCAGCGUCUCUUCCAGGCCAAGGAUCCUUUUCCCUGGAGAUUGGGGCAGAGCUGGGCCCGGUAGCCCACUGCAGUGGGGUAGCAGAUCCUAUCUUUUGGGGCUUAUUGGAGAGGAGGGGCAGAAAGACAUGGCUUCUGCCUCUAGCUCACCCCCAGAAAGUUGUGUCUGGGUGGUGGGGUGGGGAUCGGACAGAGCCUGGGCCCCGGGGUCUGCUAGAUAUGGCCUCCUCGAACCUUCGUCUCCCGAUUGGUUAAAGCACUCCUGCUUCCAAGGGAAGAGGAUCCUGUGAUGCUCAAAUGGACCCCUACUUCCCCUGCCUGCUCCCUGGGUCCCUACCCUCUUCCUGGACUUCGGAGCUCAGCUUUGGGAUCACAUCCUCCCUGGCGCCCAGGGCCAGCCUUGCCCGAAGCCCUGCCAGCUGCUUCACCAGCCGGAGCUGCUCCAUCUCCAGAAAGGGCGGUGGGGGAGGCUGGAGAAAGAAGACCAAACUCAGGCCUGAGACGCCUGGGAGAGCUGCGGGUGAGGGGAGCCUUCCCACGGGGCCUCCACAAGUCCAGUCCCGCUCCCGGACCAAACAUGCAUCCCACCCAGGGAAGACGCACCCCGGCCACCAAGCCCUGUGGUUUCAGGCUCUGCUGCUGCCGAUCCCCCACACUUAUGUCUCCAGCUGCCGCCCAGGCCCCAGCGGCUCGCCCAGGACUCAGACCUUUGUGCUGCUCCUCCACUCAGCUACUCUCUCUGCCCUUUCAAGCUCAUGCCUUCCAGGUGGCUUUCCCUGCUCCCCUGGCUGGUCAGGACCCGUCCUCUGUGCUCCCACAGCCCCCUGACGGCCUGGGAGGUGCUUCAGGAACGGGGCCUAGCCCUAGGUCACCUCUGGCCCCCCGCACUGCCCAGCACAAGGCCUGGUCUGAGCAACUCAGAGAGAGAGAAAGAGCGGGAGAGAUCAGUAGAGAUAGCGGCUCGAAUGACAGGGCUGAACACAUCAUGACAUAGAAGCAUCUGGGGCAGGAAGGGGUCCCUGGACUGUCUCCCCCAGCAAUCCCUGAAGGCUGACCCAGGGGUGGCAUCACCUUUGGAUCCGGCUCACUCAGACUGAAGGUCAGGAAGGACAGGAUGUCAUGGUCAUCUGGAAGGGGGGGCAGAGAAGGGAAGGUAAGACCCCCGCCCUUGCCCAGCAGCCCACUCACUCGGCCCUCACCCCCCCCCGCCCCCCCCAUCCCCCCGCCCGGCUCUAUUAUAUUCCAGGCAGGCAGGAGAUCUGGGUGACUCUGGGCCUCUCUAACCUUCGUCUUGCUCACUUCAUGGGAAAGGUGUGAGGGGCAGACAAGCAGAUGGGUGGACUGUGAGGGUUGACCCACACGCAGAGCCAAGGGUGAGCCCACACUGAGUGGGAAAACUGGAUGGUCCUGGGCUACAGCCAUGGCAACAGAAUGAGUGACACCCUCAGGCCCCAGAGUGGCAGAAGCAACCAAAUGACGGCCACCUCCUCAGCAUGGCUCUGAGACCGUGUCACUUUCCUCCUUGGAAACCUUCCACUGCUCCCUAGUGCUCAGAGUCUAAAGACUAAAGUCCGAGCCUUCAAGAACUCCCACCCUCCAACUGCACCCUGCUUGCCAGCUGUGGGUCCCUCCGUGGACUCUUCAUUAUGUUACACCCCUUUGCGGUUUCCUCAAUGUCCUCAUGGCUGUCCCUCUUCUACUUGCCCCACAGUUCCCAGCUUGGGGCACUUAUGGGGCCAUCACUGGAAUAAAAGCUUCUUGUGCUUUA